GUGCCCGCUGCGGAGAACAUAUACUAAAACUGGAAUGAUACAGAGAAGAUUAGCAUGGCUCCCGUGCAAGGAUGACAUGCAAAUUCGUGAAGCGUCCAUAUUUAAA